UGGAUCCAGACUUUGAUUCUGGCUCAGGACGAACGCUGGCGGCGUGCCUAACACAUGCAAGUCGAACGGAGCUCCGCCCUUCGGGACGGAACUUAGUGGCGAACGGGUGAGUAACGCGUGAAGAACCUGCCUUCCAGUGGGGGACAACAGUUGGAAACGACUGCUAAUACCGCAUGAUACUUUUGAGGGGCAUCCCUUGAAAGUCAAAGCUUUAAGUGCUGGAAGAUGGCUUCGCGUCUGAUUAGCUAGUUGGUGGGGUAACGGCCCACCAAGGCGACGAUCAGUAGCCGGUCUGAGAGGAUGAACGGCCACAUUGGGACUGAGAUACGGCCCAGACUCCUACGGGAGGCAGCAGUGGGGAAUAUUGGGCAAUGGGCGAAAGCCUGACCCAGCAACGCCGCGUGAAGGAAGAAGGCCUUCGGGUUGUAAACUUCUUUUACCAGGGACGAAGGACGUGACGGUACCUGGAGAAAAAGCAACGGCUAACUACGUGCCAGCAGCCGCGGUAAUACGUAGGUUGCAAGCGUUGUCCGGAUUUACUGGGUGUAAAGGGCGUGUAGGCGGAGGCGCAAGUUGGGAGUGAAAUCUAUGGGCUCAACCCAUAAACUGCUCUCAAAACUGUGUCCCUUGAGUAUCGGAGAGGCAAGCGGAAUUCCUAGUGUAGCGGUGAAAUGCGUAGAUAUUAGGAGGAACACCAGUGGCGAAGGCGGCUUGCUGGACGACAACCGACGCUGAGGCGCGAAAGCGUGGGGAGCAAACAGGAUUAGAUACCCUGGUAGUCCACGCUGUAAACGAUGAAUACUAGGUGUGGGAGGACUGACCCCUUCCGUGCCGCAGUUAACACAAUAAGUAUUCCACCUGGGGAGUACGACCGCAAGGUUGCAACUCAAAUGAAUUGACGGA
rnacentral:rRNA from 1 species